rnacentral:lncRNA from 1 species
UGCUGGCUGCAACUCUAACUCCCAACGCACUGCUGGAUGAGUCUGCGCAGGCCUUUGUGUGCGAUCAUAGCCACGCCGUACGUGUGCCUUGCUGCCAUGUCGCGGCCUUGCUGCCAUGUCGCGGCCUUGUUCGCCGCUGCUUGCUGUGCGUGCCUUGCUCCAAAACGUCGCCCCAUGCCUCAGCGCGUCACUCUUGCCGCUGCUUGUUGUGCGUGCCUUGCUCCAGAACGUCACCCUAUGCCUCAGCAUGCCGUGCUCGCCGCUGUCGGUCAAGCCACAACCAAGCCAGAGCGAGGCCGCGCACUUCCAUGCCGCACCGCCGUGCUCCCGCUGCAGCUGAUGCAUAGCAUGCAGCCGUGUCUAUUUAUGCAUGGCCGUUCAGUUUGCAGCCACUGGUCGGCUAAGAUCGUGCAUGUUUGCAACUACUAUGAAACGGCUAGCUAGCUAAUUUAUGUCGUUGCAAACAUGCACCAGCCAAACAUUGUCACAGUAUUCUUGAUACUACAAAAUACUUUGAUAUGUCAAAAUUGUGGUUUUUAGUUCCUGUAGACAAAAAUACUGCAGUUUUCAAUACUAUAAUUUCUGCAGUAAUUUGCUGUCAAACACAGCCUUAGUAUCUAAAAAACGUAGUUUUUUCAGUUUUGGUAAAACUGUGAAGGCGUUUGGCAAAUGGCAGUUUUAUUAAGUUUCUCUGAUUCUGACCGGUUGUUCUGUCGUUGCAUGGAUAAUCUUGAUCAUACCUAAAGCCGGACCUAAUUUAGCUGCACUCACGGCUGGAUCAACUCGUGCUAACGGCCGCCGUAUGCAUGCUAGGCAUGAGCACGUUCUCUACUACUCCUACAUGCUAGUAUACAUUGUGAGUUAUCUGUUGUGAUCCAUCAAAGACGGAGCAUUGUGACAGGGACUGAAGGUGCAGCUCGCGUGUCUAGAAGCAGUGGUAAAAAGUGGCCAAGACAUAAAGAUCAAGGGCUCUCAUAGGAAAACGGAACCUGGAAGCGUUAUACGGCUGCUCGCCGACCUGUCGAAUAUCUGGAAGAGAUAGGGAGCAACACACCCCUUACGUGUUUUCGGUCGGCGCUAAGUCAUCCGUGCGUGGCCAGAUAGAUCUAUCAUCUAGCAAGUAUUGGUCAUAAGAAGAUGGACUCAGAGAGGCCAAUGAGCCAGCGUUUCUCAAUUUUAAAAAAAGAGGUCCCGACCUCUUUUUCAAAUACUACAAAAAUACCACAGUUUUUGAGAUACUAUGGUUUCUUAAACUGCAGUAUUUUUUCUAUCCAAACACCUCAAAGUAUUUAAUACUGAAGUUUUUUCAGAAACCACAUUAUUCCUACAAAACUUCAAAAAUACUUAAGCUCCCAAACACACCCUAAAUGUUGAAUGCAACUAAUUAACGAACGGUGAAGGUGCAAUACGUGGACAAAUAAUUGCAUUUCCUCUGCAAAAUACGUACAUGAUUCAUUUCAUUGGGAAUUCAGUUAUUCCAACACUAGAACGUGUGGUUUGUGGAACACAGACAUAUUGUACAAGAGCACCAGGAAUUCACUUUAGAGUUGUUGGCACGCCGGCGCGACGUUUCGGCGGUCUCUGAGCCAGCGCUCUGUGCUGCAGGUGCUCGCGCAUGCGGAGCCAAUCGUGGACGAAGUCCGGAACGACGGCGGCGAGGCACCACAGGAGCUGGUGGCCAAGGUUGGGAGCGCAGAGGGGCGGGCCGUGGCCAAUCCAGCGCACCGCCGCGCUCGCGUACGCGUCGGGCGUCGGCGCGAUGAGGAACAUAGAGAGGCGCCCGGCCCGCCCGGUCUCCGCCAGCCUUGACACCAUCCUGGUCGCCACGUAGAAUGGAGCCUGCACGAGAUAAAGUGCUAGCUGGUUAGCGAGAGCGUGGUGGAGCUCAGGUGUAUUAAGGCGUAUUGUGACGGUGUUUCCAGGUCUUUCUACGUUAUCUUUCAGUUGCAUAGUCGCUUGCGUUCUAUGUUCCUUGAUUAUCUUGGGAUCAACUAUGUAAGAAGACUACCUCAUCAUUUUAUAUCGUUCGGCCGUGUACUUUAUGUAAUUGUUGCUUUACAUAUAAAGCAGAAUCAAAGCCUGUUUCGAAACGCGUCCAUGCUCAUGGUGCAAGUAUGCCAAUGUACCACGAAGGAACCAUUUUUUAGACAUCUCAAAGGGAAAGCUCCCACUAUCUUUAAAAAAACUUUUUUAACUUAAAUUGUCAAAGUUUCACAAAAUGUUCCUGAAAUCAAUAUUUUUCAAAAAUUCAAAAAAGUUCACGUUUUUAGAAAAUGUUUAGGAAUUUCUAAAAUUCAUGCUUUUUAAAAGUACCUCAGAAUUUCAAAAAAAGUCCCUGUUUUCAAAUAUUGUUGACAAAUUAUAAAAAUGUUUGAAAAUGUCUGUGUUUUCACAAAAUUCAUCAGGAUUUCAAAAAAUGGUCCAGUUUUAAACUUUGUUCAUAAAUUUAAAAAAUGUUCAUGUAUUCGAAUGUUUUGGGUGGAAUUUAAAAAUGUUCAUGUUUUUAAAAAAUGUUAGCAAUUUCCAAAUUCAUUUGCGUUUUGAUUCUUUUACAUUUAAAAAAUGUUCAUAAAUUUUAAAAAGAACUUGGAAGUUAAAAACUGUUCAUAGCUUGAUGCUACAGUAUGUUCGCUACAGUACCAAACUAGUAUGCUUUUUUAGUAAAGCCAAAAUUAGUAUACAGUGGUCUGCUCGCUACGGCAGCCUCUAAUGGUCCAUCCCAGUUGCGCUCGCCCUGUGCGUCGCGGCUUUGUUUGACAUGAAAUGCAUCAAAUAGGAGGCACCACGUUCACUUUUUCCUGAAAAACAGCUACCUAAAUAGGCCGCUCCAUUUCCAGCCCAUAUGGCUGGUGUGGAUUUUGUCCAAUUAUUUGUCGCAUUGAGCGGCAAAUAGGACAACUCAACCUAUUGGAAUAGGGGACUCUUAAUGCUUUAAUUUUUACCGGAAAAUUGAAAGAGAUGAUUCGGUGCACUACAAAACAACCAAACAAGCAUAACAUUCAGCCCUCAGAGGAAAAGUAAUCAGGCAUGAUUUUAUACUGGUUUCAAAGACUAAAACAGAAAGGGAGCCUUGGUGUAGUUGUAAAGCUGCUGCCUUGUGACCAUGAGGUAACGGGUUCAAGUCCUCUUACUUCAAAGUAGGAAAAGGCUGCGUAGUAUAGACCCAAAAUGGCCGGACCCUUCACCGGAAUCUGCGGAAGCGAGAGCUACAUGCAUCGAGCUGCCCUUUUUUGACGACUAAAACAAUGAACUAAGUUGGUCCUAAGAAACUAUGAUAUAAUAGACGGUCAAAAACAUUUUCAUUUUCAGUACAUUGAUCUUUUCGUCUAUAUAUUACCCGUCUAAAGGAUCAAACGCCUUUACCAAACAUUCUUUACACAUGGGAUAUUUUGGGGUUUCCUCUUUCUUCACAGUGUCAUGGAAUUGUAAGCACUUGGAAAUUUGCUCUUGUAAAUAUAUCUUUCCCUUUCCUAUUUCAUGUCAACAAACUAUCUUUUCUUUGCAGACUUUUGUUUUCUUUCUCGAUAAUAUUAACCCGUUUUGUUCUACUCAUUUUUUCAUGAGGAGCCAUAUGUUCUUUGUCCGGUUUAGAGAAUAUCAACUCAUGUUCUGCAUAUACCUAUAUGAAUUCCUCAUUUUCAUUAAGUAUAUUUUGCAUUUUUAUUUAAAGUAAUCCGGAUGCAUUUUUUAUUCCAAAGGUUGUCAGAAGCCACCGGAAUGUACUUGAGGACAUGCAAGUGUCACCCAUUCUAUAGAUUCUUCUGCCAUUUUGACCGCAAAAUUAGUGUUUUAAAUUGAGUUUUGAAAAUAUUUGUUUCCUUGUUCUUUAUUAUCCAAUAUUGUUUGUUUGCAAUGUUAUAAGCAUCUACUACAGUGUUGUCAACAGGUCUCUUUCUUUAUUUGCCUAUAACUAUUUUAGUGAUGACUCACAUAAAGACAUAUGCCCCGGUUUCUACUUUCUCCUAUUACUCCUAAUUUCAGCAACUGUUCAAUGUGUAUUUUAAAGUCUUCCUUGUCCUUUGGGGUGACAUAUUUACAAGAGCAAAUUUCCAAGUGCUUACAAUUCCAUGACACUGUGAAGAAAGAGGAAACCCCAAAAUAUCCCAUGUGUAAAGAAUGUUUGGUAAAGGCGUUUGAUCCUUUAGACGGGUAAUAUAUAGACGAAAAGAUCAAUGUACUGAAAAUGAAAAUGUUUUUGACCGUCUAUUAUAUCAUAGUUUCUUAGGACCAACUUAGUUCAUUGUUUUAGUCGUCAAAAAAGGGCAGCUCGAUGCAUGUAGCUCUCGCUUCCGCAGAUUCCGGUGAAGGGUCCGGCCAUUUUGGGUCUAUACUACGCAGCCUUUUCCUACUUUGAAGUAAGAGGACUUGAACCCGUUACCUCAUGGUCACAAGGCAGCAGCUUUACAACUACACCAAGGCUCCCUUGUCUUUUCGUCUAUAUAUUACCCGUCUAAAGGAUCAAACGCCUUUACCAAACAUUCUUUACACAUGGGAUAUUUUGGGGUUUCCUCUUUCUUCACAGUGUCAUGGAAUUGUAAGCACUUGGAAAUUUGCUCUUGUAAAUAUAUCUUUCCCUUUCCUAUUUCAUGUCAACAAACUAUCUUUUCUUUGCAGACUUUUGUUUUCUUUCUCGAUAAUAUUAACCCGUUUUGUUCUACUCAUUUUUUCAUGAGGAGCCAUAUGUUCUUUGUCCGGUUUAGAGAAUAUCAACUCAUGUUCUGCAUAUACCUAUAUGAAUUCCUCAUUUUCAUUAAGUAUAUUUUGCAUUUUUAUUUAAAGUAAUCCGGAUGCAUUUUUUAUUCCAAAGGUUGUCAGAAGCCACCGGAAUGUACUUGAGGACAUGCAAGUGUUACCCAUUCUAUAGAUUCUUCUGCCAUUUUGACCGCAAAAUUAGUGUUUUAAAUUGAGUUUUGAAAAUAUUUGUUUCCUUGUUCUUUAUUAUCCAAUAUUGUUUGUUUGCAAUGUUAUAAGCAUCUACUACAGUGUUGUCAACAGGUCUCUUUCUUUAUUUGCCUAUAACUAUUUUAGUGAUGACUCACAUAAAGACAUAUGCCCCGGUUUCUACUUUCUCCUAUUACUCCUAAUUUCAGCAACUGUUCAAUGUGUAUUUUAAAGUCUUCCUUGUCCUUUGGGGUGACAUAUUAUGUACUCCAUCUGUUUCUAAAUAUAAGUCUUUCGAAAGAUUCUACUAUAAACUACAUACGAAUGUAGUCUUCAUAGUGGAUCUUCAAAAGGACAUAUAUUUAGGAACGGAGGCAGUAUUUAUUGUGUUUAGCUUACCUAUUCUAGAUUUUUUUUAUCCCAGUGGUUCGUACGUACUUCUCCAAUAAUCUGGAUAUCUUCUAGUCUUUGAACAAUCAUCUCUAUAUAGGGAAACAAUUCAGGACCUCACUGAUUCACAUGAUUUCUAAAACGCAUGAAUAGAAAAGCACACGAAUAGAGUGUCAUGACAUACAUGAUUGUAUGAUCGUUUGAUUUUACGCAGGAACAACGUUUGUUUCCUUACGUGAGUUUGGAAGUGGAUGGAAAUUUCCCUACCAAAUGUGGGUACAAAUAAAUCCUAAGAAAAAAAUCUUAUGGAUUGCAAUCAAACAGCCAACGUGUAUGAAAAGUUCAUAAGAAUUAGAAUCCUCCAUUUUUUGCAUGGAAUUCCAUUAAACGAAAGGGACUCUCAGAUGAAGCUAAAUAUGCGUCGAACAUGUAACGGGCAAUAUAUAUUACCUGGCAUUGCACAUCGAUCCCUUUGCUUCUGUACUCAACGUAAAGGCUCCUGGAGAACUGAGCAACAUACCUGCUUGGAAUGAACCACCCACAUGUAAUGUAAGCAGAAAAACCAAUCAGUCUCACAGUCUCGCUCCAUCCAUAGGAACUAAAUUUGCUCCACCGUACCGAAAUGCCCCGCUUGUGUAAGACAUACCUUUUGGUGGCGGCGUACAUGGUGUGCAGGGGAAAGGAGGGGAUGGCCUCCGACGAGGCUGAGCCCAUGUUGACGACGGCGCCCCUGCCCCGCUCCACCAUCCCCGGCAGCACCGCGGCGGUCACCUCCGCCACCGCCCACAGGUUCACCCGCAUCAUCCUCACACACGCCUCCACGUCAGCCUCGUGCAGGUACACUGCACCCGGCUUCGCCACCCCGGCGUUGUUCACCAGCACUCCCACGCACAGGCGGAGCUCCCGGUAGGGCGAGGCAGGGCGCCCGCCCUACCUUGAUUUUGUGCAAAACGAUUUCUACAGGUACGCGUACGCUGUCGCUGUCUGGUUCUAUACCUCGAGUCACCGUCGCUAGAAAAAAAUGAGAACCAAGAGAAACGAGUGGGCCUAGUCGCUCGUCAGAUUCUGUCAUGUUAUUUGGGCCCAUGUAAUUUGGGCCCAUGAGUUCCUCCUGCUGGGCACAGUUCGCUACGCGGAACGGACAAAGCAAUUGAGCCCAUCCAGUUGAUCAGUCGCACGCACAAGUACACAACGCUAUCUCUUUUCUUCUUAAAAAAACACGCUAUCUCUCUUAUUGAAAAAAACACACACGCUAUCACCUAAAAAAACACUCUAUCCCUCUUUCUCAAAAGAAGACAUGCUCUUUUUUUCCUAAAAAUAACCGCGCUCUCUCUCUCUCUGAAAAAAAAUACACCAUGCCAUCACAUGGAGAGUUAUAAAUUUCUACAUUUUUAUGUUGUGAAUUCAUGAUGUAAAUUUUCUGAGAAUAGCUUCGCAAUCUUUGAUAGCAUUAAAGCUUCAUUAUCCAUAUGUUUUCAGAUUUAUUUAAAUAUGCUUGCAUUUUCUGUUUUAUUUGAAUUAGUUUAAAAUCACGUAAAAUUGUGAGUGUACUAUUAUUGUGUAAAAGCUAUUUUUGAUAUUGCAUCACAUCAUUUAUUGGCCUUUAGAGUCCGCCCCACCUUAAAUUUUUUUCGUCCUCCGCCACUG